GAUGAACGCUGGCGGCGUGCUUAACACAUGCAAGUCGAACGGGAUCCAUCAAGCUUGCUUGGUGGUGAGAGUGGCGAACGGGUGAGUAAUGCGUGACCGACCUGCCCCAUACACCGGAAUAGCUCCUGGAAACGGGUGGUAAUGCCGGAUGCUCCGGCCUGCCGCAUGGUGGGCUGGGAAAGAUUGUAUCGGUAUGGGAUGGGGUCGCGUCCUAUCAGGUAGUCGGCGGGGUAGCGGCCCACCGAGCCUACGACGGGUAGCCGGCCUGAGAGGGCGACCGGCCACAUUGGGACUGAGAUACGGCCCAGACUCCUACGGGAGGCAGCAGUGGGGAAUAUUGCACAAUGGGCGCAAGCCUGAUGCAGCGACGCCGCGUGCGGGAUGACGGCCUUCGGGUUGUAAACCGCUUUUGAUCGGGAGCAAGCCUUCGGGUGAGUGUACCUUUCGAAUAAGCACCGGCUAACUACGUGCCAGCCGCCGCCGUAA
rnacentral:rRNA from 1 species